CUCGCGUCGAGAAUUGACGUGCAGAGUCCUCUCAUUGAAUACUAUGCUGCUCCCUAAACGUUGCUUAUUGACGACAAGAGAUUGCCGCGGAAGAGCCUGUUAUGGAGGAUCAGUAACAGGAGCGUGGGAAGACUCCAGAAUCCACUCUGGCUGGAAUCCGGUGGAUACAGCAGUGUUACAGGUACAGUACGUGAUGUUAAGGGCAGGCGGUCAUCACCGGGGGAAGAAAAGAAGCAGACGUACUUCCAAGAGGGAGCUGCAGUGAGGACACAGCCUGGUCACUGAGGUCAGAGGAGGCGCUGGAAGGUUUCCCUAAUAGUUCCUGGUGAAUCAAAGCAGAACCAUAAAGGUUUCUGGACUGCAUGAUGGCCUUACCCCUGAGCAGUCAUCCUGUUAAAGGAGGAACCAGUUAGAAGCUGUUUUCAAAGUAGCUGAGCAGAUUUCAUCUGAAUUCUGAUCUCUCUGCUGAGCUACACAGGUGCUGAGGUACUUUACUGGGCUGCUGGUCAGACGAGGCUUCUCUGGAGCACUUUGUCCAGCUCGGGUGUUUCAGCACCAAGGACAGCGUGCAGCUCUCUGAGCUUCAGCAGCAGAACUGAAUCCACAGACUUUAGCAGCAGCACAAGAAGUGACACACCCAACUGUUCACAUGCUUUUUAAAUGUUCAUUUAUUAUUGUUUGUGUUACAUUCAUUCAUAACCA
ensembl:lncRNA